CAGUCCCCAGGGCCACCUUGAAGUGCUACUGAUUACAGCAGUCUCUGCCAUCCUGUGUUAUGCCCUUGCCCCUGCUCUCCUCUUUUGGUGCCCUACAGUUUCCUUGGGAGUAGGAGGGGCUGGCUUAUCAGUCAUCAUCUGGACCCACUCCAUCAAUGAGGUAGGACCUUGAAGAAACCUCUUCACCUUGGACUUCUCAUACUGGAAGAACCCUGUGCUCCUGUGGCCUCUUCCUCUAAUUGAAUGCUUCUUCCUCAAACCUCCAUUUUGAGGAGGACACCAAGGCCAGCCACUUCUUCCUUCCAGGUUGCACUCAGGACUCUCUGGAACUUCCCUACCAUCCUCACCACUCUAGUACUCUCUCCUUUUGUGGUUCAGGGAAUAGAGUGCCAGGCCUGGAAUCAGAAAGACUCAUCUUCCUGAAUUCAAAUCUGAUCUCAGAGACUUUCUAGCUGUGACCCUGGGCAAGUCAGUUACCUCUCUUUGCCCAAGUUUCCACUUUAGCAUCUGUCAAGAAGACUCCAAAUGGGGUCACAAAGAGUCAUAAAUGACUGAAAAGAACUGAGCAAUCUUUGUGAAGAUAACUGAAUCCAUGGGAAAGGAUGAGAUCACUGAAGGAGAGAGUGUCAAGAAAAGAGACUAAGGACUGGGACUGAACCUGGGGGGCCACCCACACUUCAAGGUAUGUUGGUGGAUGAUGAGCUAGUGCUUUUGUGGUUGGAAGUAUGUGGAAACAAGGGUAGAAAGGAA
rnacentral:lncRNA from 1 species